GCACUAGUAGCCAAGUGUGUGUUAAGUUUACUAUAGAACUGACAUAGAGUUCAUCAAUUGGUUUUUCUAUUUACUAGUUGAUAGCCCGUGCCAAGCACGGGUUUAAAUAAAAUUUUAAAAUUUGUUAUUUAUUGGAAGAAUAAUGUCUUUUUUAGUUAGAUUAUCAUAUUUUUAUUAUACUUAUUUAAAUUAUUGUUUUUAAAUGAUAUUUAAAUUAUUGUUAUUUAAUAUAAGACUUUCAAUAUAUUAAAAUUUGAUCCUACUUUAAAUUUAUUUCAUAACAAUAUGAGUCUCUGUUCUAUGGAAUUCACAAAAUAAGAGUAUUGGCGUCCAAAAUUAUUUAAAAAUAAUCUACUCGUUUCAAUUUUAAUUUUUUUUUAGUCUACAAUAUAUUUGUAAACAUCACUAUGUUUACAAAUAUAUUUAUUUUAGUAAAAUCACUAUGUUGUUUGAUGAUUUUUAAAUUGUGAAAAUAAUAUUCAAGAUCAACACAUAUAAGUUCGUUUACAGCGUCUUUAAUCUCGAAUAAAAUUCAAAUUUUUAAGUCGUAAUUGUUAUAUUCAAUUAUUAGGCAAACGUUAUAUAUAAUUAUAUUUGGAGUUUUUGUAGAUUUAACAGCUGUAGUAGUUGUUUGAUAAACUGAUAUUAUAGUUUGACAAAAUUAAUUAACUUUCCAAAAGUAAUUUGAUAUCAAAUAAUUUGACGUAUGUCUAGAGUUUUGGUUCUUUUAUUAUAUGUUGCAAUAUGGAUAAUGACUUCAUUUUUUUUUGAGUUUUUAUUUGUCAAGUCAGUGUUACCAUCGCCUUAUUCGUCUUUAUCGCAAUCUUCUGGAAAACACUGAAUGAUAAUAAUUAUUAUUAUUAAAAAAAAUAUGACCAGGUUUAUUGGUACUUUGGUAUCAAUAUUGAAUCUUGUUUAUUUUAAUUCUGAAAUAUGAUAGAAAUUUUAUAAAUUUGUUUCGUAAAUUAAAUUGUAUGAGUUUUAAAAAUUAAAACGAAUAUUUGACGUAUGUCUAGAGUUUCGGUUCUUUUAUUAUAUGUUGAAAUAUGGACAAUGACUUCAUUUUUUUUUAGUUUCCAUUUGUCAAGUCAAUGUUGCCACCGCCUUAUUCCAUUAUUCGUCUUUAUCGUACUUUUCUGAAAAACACUAAAUGAUAAUAAUGAUAAUUAUUAAAAAAUAUAUGAUCAAGUUUUUUGAUACUUUGGUAUCAAUAUUGAAUCUUGUUUAUUUUAAUUCUGGAAUAUGAUAGAAGUUUUAUAAAUUUAUUUCGUAAAUUAAAUUGUAUGAGUUUUAAAAAUUAAAACGAAUAAUUUCGUUGACAUUAUUAUUCUAUUGAUAGAAUAUUAUAUUAAUAUCAAUAUGAACUCGUUAUUUAUUUGAACUCUGAAGCAUGAUAAAAGAUUUAUAGAGUUGUUCCAUAUAUUAAAUUAUUUGAGUUUUAAAAAACUAAAGCAAAUAAUUUUGUUGGUAAUAUAUAUUUAUUAGUGAGAUAAUUGUUAUAAUACAAAAUCCUGUCAAAUAUAGAAGUUCUUUGAUAAUAGUAAUAAUUGUUAAAUAAAAAAUAAAAUGAUGAUAGCCAAAUUUUGAUAUGAAUUUUAUAGAACUGUUUCAUAAGUUAAAUUGUUUGCGAUUUAACUGUGCGGAUAGGAUAAAUGUUAUAUUACAAAAUCCUAAACACCAUGGAAGUCUUUUUAUAGUAUGAUAAUAAUCUUAACCAAUUUUGAAAUUAUUAAUAAUAAAAUCUGAAUAAAUAUAGAAUUCUUUUCAUAAUUGUAUAAUAAUAAUUAUAAAAACCUAAAAAUGUAUAAUAAUAAGUAUAAAAUCCUAACAAUAUGAAAAUCUUUUCAUAAUUCUAUAAUGGUUAUUGUUAUUAAAUAAAAAAUUUAUAUAACAUUCUCCUAAUCAAUAUUGAAGUUCUUAAUAAUAAAAUUCUAAUCAAUACAGAAAUCUUUCACUAUCCUAAUGAAUAUUGAGGUCUUUAAUAAUAAAAUUUUAUUCAAUAUUGAAGUCUUUUGAUAAUAAUAUAAUAAUGACUAUAAAAUUCUAAUCAAUAUGAAAGUGACCGAAUUUUGGUACUUUAGUACCGAUGUUCCACCGAAACGUGGUUUCGCUUAUUAAUUAGAAUUCUUUUCAUAAUUGUAUAAUAAUAAUUAUAAAAAUCUAAAAAUGUAUAAUAAUAAGUAUAAAAUAUUAACAAUAUGAAAAUCUUUUCAUAAUUCUAUAAUGGUUAUUGUUAUUAAAUAAAAAAUUUAUAUAACAUUCUCCUAAUCAAUAUUGAAGUUCUUAAUAAUAAAAUUCUAAUCAAUACAGAAAUUUUUCACUUUCCUAAUGAAUAUUGAGGUCUUUAAUAAUAAAAUUUUAUUCAAUAUUGAAGUCUUUUGAUAAUAAUAUAAUAAUGACUAUAAAAUUCUAAUCAAUAUGAAAGUGACCGAAUUUUGGUACUUUAGUACCGAUGUUCCACCGAAACGUGGUUUCGCUUAUUAAUAAAGGGUAUUGAUAUCUUUUCAAUUUGUGACAGUGAACAGAAUACAGAUACAUACCAAAGAUUUUGGCUGAUCAAGCAGGAUCUUUUGAGCUCAGCUGAGACUCAUACUUCACCAGCAAAGCUUAAGAGCCAUGAUGUUUGCCGGAUCGAAACGAGUGAAAUCGAGAUCAGAAUCUACUGGAGAGUCUAAGACAGAGAGAUGGGUUUCUAGUCAAAGAGAACCAGUGAAGAAAGACGGGGUUGAUGAGAAGGAGCGGAGAAAAAGGGAACUAGAGAAAGUUGAAAACGCUAUUUAUCUUAUGUGUUGGGGACCGAAUUAAUGGGUAGCCUCUAGUUGCUAGUUGAAUCUGGCGACUGGCAUCAUUAGUUUUGUAAAUCAUAAUCAAAUUUCAAACCAGUUGUGUUUGUUAGUUCUCAAUUCUCAUUUGUUACUAAUAGUCGGAUAAUGUCAGUAUAGCGUAAGUUUUGGAAUGGCUUCUUUCUAUAAAAAAAAGUAUUUUCAUCUAAUCGAAGAGCAUGCAAAGAUAUAUAUCCUCGAAAAUUUAGAUAAAAACCCUUCAAUAUCGAAAAGAAAACACCCGAAAGAAUAUAAUAAUACCCGUGAACGAAGAAAACCGGGCAAUAUCUGUAUAGCGUAAGCUUUAAUCGUAACUUAGAUGGGUUUUUUCGUAAAGUUUGUAGGCUUAUUUCUAUUGUAACUAAAUUUAUUAAUUAAAAUUCGAAAAAUGGUAUGGAAAUCAUAUUAUAUAACAACUGCAAAAACAGCGGUAUGGUCUUUCAGUUACCAAAUUUGUAGGAUAUAAUUUAUGAAAAGGCAAUAAUAAUUUCCGGUUGUCAGAUUUUAUAAGGUCUUAUUUAAUUUCAUCGUAGCCUCUUGACCAAGAAAUAAUGACAUCUUAUCACACAAUUGUCCUUUCUAUAUUGUACAGGUCACGGCCCUGGUAAAGAGUAUGAGCUUGAGGCACAUGAGCAGGACCAUUUUAAGAACCCUCCAAGGGCCAAAAGAACAAAACCCUAGGGGGUUAAUUAAGCACACUCAUGGGAAAAGCUUAUCGGAUUCCGACAAAGCAAGUGUUGGAAGGGUUACCUCUGGCAUUAAAGAACCGGUGAAGCAGGUCUGCGAUGACGAAAAAAGUAAGAUGAGGGAAGCUGCUAGGGCCGAGACUGUUAUGCAACUCAUAUGUUGGGGGCCUCACUAAUUUAUCUAUGAUGCGAGUAUUUCUUUGUUCUUAUGCACGAUAUCCUAUUUUUCUUUGUCUUGAUCUCAAAUAAAUUAAAGAGGGCACAAAUAAACUAUCGGUUUGAUGGUAUCUCCUUCUCUUAGGUUGAGAGUUCGAACUUUAUCUUUUGACUAUGUGUAUUUAAUUAUAAAAAAGGUGUCACAUUCAUAUUUGAUGUCUCUUUUAAU
rnacentral:lncRNA from 1 species